CCCUUGCGUGCCCCUGGGCUCCAUUCAAGUUUGAAACUACCCCCCCCGCCCCCCAACUCCUCCUCCAAGAAAACAUUUCAACCCUAAAGUCCGAGUUUUCUGGCCUCUGCUCGCGCCUGGUCCUGCCAGGCUCUGCAGCCUCUUCCCCGCACUUCAGAGCCGAAGUCACCUUUCCCCUCCUUACCUGAACAGCGCUCUCACCUUGGAGCUGCCAUGCCCUACGUUACAAAGCUAUCUGCAAGGCCGAGGCGAGGGGGCCGCUCGGCUUCCAGCGCUCCCUGCCCCCUCCGAGCACCAACGCGUCAAACUACUCCCGCGAGCUGGGGGCGAGGGCGCACGCAGCAUCCCGCCGCCGCUCCUGGGAACCAGCCGCCCGGCUCUUACCGGACAGUUUUGAGGAAGGAGCUUGCAAAUCUCCACAUAUUUUGCACAAAGCCGGAGUGAAAGAGAAACUAAAAUCAACAACAAAAAAAACUCCGCUCGCCUGGCGCUGCACCGGGGUGCUCCCCACCCAGGCGCUCGCGGGGCGCCCGCAGCCCCGGCCCGCAGGACCGUGCCACCGGGGCUCUGCUCGCCGCGCUGCGCCUCGCUCCUCGCCAGCGCGCACGGAGCGGGGUGGACAGCGGGGCUCUCAUCUAUUCCGCGGGAGGAAGGAGAAAGGGCACGAAAAGGGGGCUCCCGCCCGGCACUGGCCCCCGCAGCCCGGCUCCUCCGCGGCACGGAUCCUGCGGGACCCGCGCGGGGACUUGGGGAGCGGAAGAACGAAAAGAAAGAACCUACUUUUGGGCAGUUUUCUCGCCCUCGCCUUGGAUCUCAUCUUGUCGGCUUGUGGAUUCUUCUCCUCCCUCCUUGAGCCCAGAAGCAGCUACACACUAUCUUCAUCUCCCAAGCAUUGUCAGUUUGGACACCUUCGCACAUGCGCACAGAGCAUUCAAUCUGACACCCUCACCAGGGCCAAAAAAAGUUUCCAAUGUAUUCAUCAUCAUCAGGUUUUUUUUUUUUGUCCUAUCCUCUUCUUCAGAUCACUUAUCUCUCCCCCCCCCCUCUCUCUCAGCACCAUCAGAGCCUUUCCCUGAUCUGCCCCUUUAAGAAAAAUCAGCCUGCUCUCCUCCUUACUCUCCGCACACUGACCUUACACACUGGACAAUAUUUAAGGAUCAAGGUGCCAUCCUAUAAAGAGGUGAUUAUUAUGAUUAUUAUUAUUGUUAUUAUUGUUAUUAUUCUUUCCUCGCGCUGCUGUAGCAGGGACUUGCAGAGUGGGGCUCGCUCGGUAAUUGCACGUAUUUUAAACAUGCUUUUUAUUGAAAGGGAAAAACUAUUGGAAAAAAAAAAAGAUUUACUGUAACUUUUCACGCAAGGUUUUUUCUUCUUCUUCUUUUGCCUUUUUUUCCCCCCGCGGGCUCGGGGGUGCGUGAGGCUGUUUGCAGCGUUGUUUGAGAUUUGCAUCCUGCUGUCAUUUAACGCUUUGCACCAGAAUAUUUCUUUUGAACUCCGCCGCUAGAGAAUGCCUUGGCUUUCCACCCAGAAUUGAUUCCUGCAUAUUUUUAUUAAAAUUUGAAACAACAUCGGUUUGUUACCUUUAUCUUUGUCUUCUUUUCAUUUCUUCCCCCCGCCCUUUUUCCUUUUAUUUUUUUCCCCUUUUUUCUUUUUUUUCUUUUUUGUGGUUUUUCCUGUUGGCUACCUGUGUCCCCGCUGUCAAUUAAACCGGGUGUUAAUUAGACAUUUGCAUGUGGGCAACAGUGUUACCUGCUCGGCACUGCCGUGUGUUAUUUGUAUGUGCCCUUGAGUUUGCUGCUGAUCGGGCAAAGGGAACCAAGGAUCCUCUCCAGUGCGGGACCGCUUCGCCAGAGACAGUCACCGUCUGGGCAGUUUGGCGCGGCGUGUGUGCUUGUCCUCUGCUUUUCAAGGUAAUGAAUUAAGCCCUAAGAAUUGUUUUAAAAGGAGAAAGGGAAUAAAUAGCUCUCUGUGUUUUUUUUCCUUAAAGGGACUGGAAAUACAGGUCCUGGGUGCUGCGGUAAAGGGAGACAGGCUCGGCGUAGAUUUGGGCUUGCAACUGGGCUUCCCCGGGUUCCUGUGUCAGUGCUGGACAUUUGCCCCCAGAUCCUCCUCCCGAGGGCGACCCCUUGUCUGGCCUGAGGCUGUCCCUGUUGGGGCAGAGGGGAGAUGCUGCUGCAGGGCUGGAAGAGCAGCCGGCACCCUGCCCUGUCUUGGAGGAGACAAGCAUGAAUCUUGCGCUGCUUUUCAUUUGCGUGUGUAGGUGCUGCGGUCCAGCCAUUUGCGAACGUAUUAGCGGUCGCCACAUUUGGGGAUAUUUUAAUGCUGACCCCCCACACUUCCAAACGCUCCCCCCGCAACCCAAGCAAAAGCGGAGAGGAAAAAACAAGUGGUCCCUGCCCAGCACUUGGAGUUGUCCGUGAUCCCCGGAAGUGGAGGGACAGACAGAGCAGACAGAUCCUCUUUGAAGAAAGGAGCGAAGUGUAAAUAGCUCGGUGAUUGAUGUGCUGCCUUUGACUGCGGAGAAAGCACUAUUUGAAUUCAAGUGGCCAGGUCAGAUGGUCACGGAAGAAGGUUGAAAGAGAACAGUGUAGGCGGACAGCUCUGGGUCGGGACCCGCGGAAGGUGCAUCUGGCCAGGAUCAGUGCCCCGCGGCGGAGGCUGCCCCGCAGAGCCCGUCGGGGAGAGCCCCGGUGUCAGCGCCGCGGUGCACUCAGGUGCGUGUGCGCCUCACCUGCGGGGAAAGGGAGGCAAUGCUAAGAUUUGUGCAUAUCCAUCCUCCUUGCUUUGGCCCCAACCCCAUCCCCAGCCAGCGCCUCUCCAUGGCAUGUCUCGGAGACCAGCUCCCCGCCCGAAAUAGAAAGUAAGAAACGUCCCCGAAAGGAGCCGAGUGCUGCGGGCGAGCCGGCCCCGGGCACCGAUCUCCUCUCCGCCCGGACGCGCAGCCCGCAUCGAGCCCAGUCGGACCCGCACGUCUAUUCUCUUUCGAAGGAUUUCUUUUAUUUUGAUUUGUCAAAUUGGAGUUUUGCAAAUUACAGCAAGGAAACGCGGUUCCAAACAAAGCCAAGGAGUCGCCGGGCUCUUGCUCGAGCAGGGGCGAAGAACCUGGGAACACGCAGCCUUGGCUCCGCUUGGAAAUGAUUUCCCUUGCUCCAAUUCAUGCAGUAAAUGUACAAGAUGGAUCAGUGUAAAUGUUACAACAGGGAUCGAAAAGGUUUCUCCCUUGCACUCGCCCCCCCCACUCCUCUCCUUGCCGUCUGAUCUGCACUACGCUGCGGAGAGGGCCCUAGCCCGCGUCUCCCGCACACACACACACGCGCUUUCCCCUGCGAAAAGCCCUAGUGACGGCGCGUCGGCGCUCGGGGUUUCAUUCAUUUAUUUAUUUCCAGGGAAGGAAAAAAAAUAUUAAUAAUAAAAAGCCCGGAACGAAUCUCCGACUCGAUUUGUGGUUUCCUGCCAAGGGGAGGAGGGAGGAACGGGAAAGGACUGCAAACGCCAACGAGAUCUUCUCCGCCCCGGCUCGGAGCACCCCUCCAGCCUUCCCGCUUCCCCGCCUGCACGUGUGUGCGUCUGCCCCCCAAACCCGCACUAAAUGCUUCUAGUCGGCAUCUCCCAAGUCCCUGCCCGCAGGCUCCCGCGCGAGCUCCGUGCGUGGGUCCGGCCCCUCCCCUCCCCUCCCCUCCCCAGGGGGCUCCGACCCGAGUGCUCGGGGGAGGUGCGGGCUGCCGCGGGGCAGGCGCUUGCUGCUGCCUCCCGCGCAGCCCUGUGUUUGCACCUGUCGGAGCCAGUGGCUCACGAAGCAGACAGGGGGUCGGUCAUUCCCGAGGGAGCUGCUCCGCCCGCUGCCCUGCAAGAGUUUGGUUCAACCUGAGCCAGCGGAGCCCAGGGAAACGCAGCCCGCCCCGGACACCAGCAGCCCCGAUGCCCCGCUCACACCGCGCUCACAUCCGCGCCCGCGGAACCGGCGCAGCGACCGGAGUCCUUUAUAACUGAGUAAGAGAAACACCCGAUGAGCCGGGCCAGUCCCAGAAGGCGCCAACAGGAUGUUUAAUUUCUUGGGAAACUGCAUGGGAGAGAAAGUUAUUCCAAGUCUUACCUGCCAUAUUUCAUGGUGUACAAGUCAAGUUUGAAGCCCAAAUAUUUACCAUUAAAUUUCUACCUCUACUUAUACACUGUAUCAAUAUUUUGAAAUAAAAAAAUAUUGUGUUUCGAA